rnacentral:rRNA from 1 species
GACGAACGCUGGCGGCGUGCUUAACACAUGCAAGUCGAGCGGUAAGGCCCUUUCGGGGGUACACGAGCGGCGAACGGGUGAGUAACACGUGGGUGACCUGCCCUCAGCUCUGGGAUAAGCCUGGGAAACCGGGUCUAAUACUGGAUAUGACUCCAUGACGCAUGUUGUGGGGUGGAAAGCCUUGUGCGGCUGAGGAUGGGCCCGCGGCCUAUCAGCUUGUUGGUGGGGUGANGGCCUACCAAGGCGACGACGGGUAGCCGGCCUGAGAGGGCGACCGGCCACACUGGGACUGAGACACGGCCCAGACUCCUACGGGAGGCCAGCAGUGGGGAAUCUUGCGCAAUGGGCGAAAGCCUGACGCAGCGACGCCGCGUGAGGGAUGACGGCCU